AGCAGCCGCGGUAAUUCCAGCUCCAAUAGCGUAUAUUAAAGUUGUUGCAGUUAAAAAGCUCGUAGUUGAAUUUUGGGUUUGGCCGAUUGGUCCGUUCUUGUAACGAGUACUGGUCGGUUGGGCCUCACCGCUUGGUGAUGCGUAAUGUCCUUUAUUGGGUGUUGCGAGUAGCCAAGACCUUUACCUUGAAAAAAUUAGAGUGUUUAAAGCAGGCUUAUGCCAGAAUACAUUAGCAUGGAAUAAUAGAAUAGGACGAUUUAUCUAUUUUGUUGGUUUCUAGGAAAAUCGUAAUGAUUAAUAGGGAUAGUUGGGGGCAUUAGUAUUCAAUUGUCAGAGGUGAAAAUUCUUGGAUUUAUUGAAGACUAACUACUGCGAAAGCAUUUGCCAAGGAUGUUUUCAUUAAUCAAGAACGAAGUUAAGGGGAUCGAAGACGAUCAGAUACCGUCGUAGUCUUAACCAUAAACUAUGCCGACUA
rnacentral:rRNA from 1 species